rnacentral:rRNA from 1 species
UACGUAGGUGGCAAGCGUUGUCCGGAAUUAUUGGGCGUAAAGAGCUCGUAGGCGGCUUGUUGCGUCGGUUGUGAAAGCCCGGGGCUUAACCCCGGGUCUGCAGUCGAUACGGGCAGGCUAGAGUGUGGUAGGGGAGAUCGGAAUUCCUGGUGUAGCGGUGAAAUGCGCAGAUAUCAGGAGGAACACCAAUGGCGAAGGCAGCACUCUGGGACGGUACUGACGCUGAGACGCGAAAGCGUGGGGAGCGAACAGG